UACCACAAUUAUUUCCAUUCACCCUUCAGCCCCACUUUGCCAUCAGCAAUCUGGAUCCUGAAAGCAAAUUAAGAUGACAAGAGAGCACAGAAAAACAGAAACAACCAUAUAACUAUUGCACUUAGUUGAUCAGAUCAGGAACACAAGAUAACGCAUCUGCCACUACGUUAUCUGAUCCUUUAAUAUGUCUAACAACCAAAUUGUAGGGUUGUAAAAAGAGUAUCCAACGCAUUAAAGGCUGACUCGGGGACUGCAAAGAAUGCAAGAAUGUUAACGGAUUAUGAUCAGAAAACACCUCCACCGGCAUUCCUCCCUCCACAUACACAUAAAAAAACUGAAGUGCCCAAAUUAAGGAUAAAGCCUCUUGCUCGAUUACAGAGUAAUUUUUCUGAUAGGUGUUAAACUUUCGAGAAAAGAAACUCACGGGAUAGUCAAACUAGAGCUUAGAUUCUCUGCCGGGCCGUUGAUGAAGCACGUCACGUGUCACGCGCAGCAUCUCUUUCACUCGCACGCUGUAUUGUGUAGGCUAGCUAUCUUCAGUGCAACAUGGAGCUUGAAGAAGUGAAGAAAAAAAAAUCAAAACUGAUAAAACCCACCGGCGUCUCGUCAGGACGAGGAUGGAGCUCCGCCUUGUGUUCGGUGAUUUGGCUGAAGGGCGUGGUCAUACACCUGAAGGUCAUCAUGCUGCUCAAUAAAAGACUGGGACUGAGAUGAGAGCAGGAGAGUCGGUUGAGCUUGUGCUCUUUUUGUUUGCUUGGGGGUACUUUGGGGUUCAUGUCACGAGGAUGAGGACUCGUUGAGAGGUUUGGAGUAUGGGAGAUCACCACCGUCGCUUGAGCCACCUCAUGUGGGAUAUCUGUUGUCGCUGAACGUUUCAUGGACUGAGAUGGGCUGGACUGCUGUUGUUCAUAAGUACACCUACGCAUCUGCUGACACCCUGAUUAUCAUUUAUACUGAUCAUUAAUGUUGUUCUGUCUUUCAUGGAUAAAUAAACUCAUGAAUUAUGA